rnacentral:rRNA from 1 species
UACGUAGGGUGCGAGCGUUGUCCGGAAUUACUGGGCGUAAAGAGCUCGUAGGUGGUUUGUCGCGUCGUCUGUGAAAUUCCGGGGCUUAACUUCGGGCGUGCAGGCGAUACGGGCAAUACUUGAGUGCUGUAGGGGAGACUGGAAUUCCUGGUGUAGCGGUGGAAUGCGCAGAUAUCAGGAGGAACACCGAUGGCGAAGGCAGGUCUCUGGGCAGUAACUGACGCUGAGGAGCGAAAGCAUGGGUAGCGAACAGGAUUAGAUA